CCCAGUGCGGCAGUCUACCAUGCAAGUCGAGCGAGAUCUUCGGAUCUAGCGGCGGACGGGUGAGUAACGCGUGGGAACGUGCCCUUCUCUACGGAAUAGUCCCGGGAAACUGGGUUUAAUACCGUAUACGCCCUUCGGGGGAAAGAUUUAUCGGAGAAGGAUCGGCCCGCGUUGGAUUAGGUAGUUGGUGGGGUAAUGGCCUACCAAGCCGACGAUCCAUAGCUGGUUUGAGAGGAUGAUCAGCCACACUGGGACUGAGACACGGCCCAGACUCCUACGGGAGGCAGCAGUGGGGAAUCUUAGACAAUGGGCGCAAGCCUGAUCUAGCCAUGCCGCGUGAGUGACGAAGGCCCUAGGGUCGUAAAGCUCUUUCACCAGGGAUGAUAAUGACAGUACCUGGAGAAGAAACCCCGGCUAACUCCGUGCCAGCAGCCGCGGUAAUACGGAGGGGGUUAGCGUUGUUCGGAAUUACUGGGCGUAAAGCGCGCGUAGGCGGGCUGUUAAGUCGGGGGUGAAAUCCCGGGGCUCAACCCCGGAACUGCCCUCGAUACUGGCAGCCU
rnacentral:rRNA from 1 species